rnacentral:rRNA from 1 species
GAUGAACGCUGGCGGCGUGCCUAAUACAUGCAAGUCGAGCGAACGGACGAGAAGCUUGCUUCUCUGAUGUUAGCGGCGGACGGGUGAGUAACACGUGGAUAACCUACCUAUAAGACUGGGAUAACUUCGGUAAACCGGAGCUAAUACCGGAUAAUAUUUUGAACCGCAUGGUUCAAAAGUGAAAGACGGUCUUGCUGUCACUUAUAGAUGGAUCCGCGCUGCAUUAGCUAGUUGGUAAGGUAACGGCUUACCAAGGCAACGAUGCAUAGCCGACCUGAGAGGGUGAUCGGCCACACUGGAACUGAGACACGGUCCAGACUCCUACGGGAGGCAGCAGUAGGGAAUCUUCCGCAAUGGGCGAAAGCCUGACGGAGCAACGCCGCGUGAGUGAUGAAGGUCUUCGGAUCGUAAAACUCUGUUAUUAGGGAAGAACAUAUGUGUAAGUAACUGUGCACAUCCUGACGGUACCUAAUCAGAAAGCCACGGCUAACUACGUG